GUCUGGAAACGGCAGCUUCUGAGAGUUUACAAUGUUUCACCAAUUCUCGUCCAAAUAAGUCGUCACCCCUGUCAGAGUAGUUGCAGCUCUGCCGUUACCCACUGCUGUCACUGUGGCCGUUUUAUUCGCGAGGGUUACAGUUCUGUUUAGCAUGCAUCUAAUGACUUAAGACUCCACGCAAGUAAAACGGAGUUUCCUCCCAUUAAGUAUUGGCUUUUCUAUAACAGUGCUUUGAGAGGCUCUCUGUGGCCAACAUAUCUUCUCAUAUCUUUGUCCUCGUUUCCCAAUCUCCGCGUGGUGAAAUCAUCUGUCAAGACUUGGCUUAAAGGACCUCUCUUCUGCAAAUAAUGCCACCUUCCGCUAGGUGCUCACUGCACACAGACUCGCCGCCCACCACUUCUGUCCACCUUCUGAACUCCGAUAGUUAUUUACCCAGAGACUGUUUCUCAUCUUUAAGUGUCGUGAAGACUUUAAGAUCUGUUUUAUCUCUCUAUACCCCAAAAUGGCCUAGCACAGUAACUAGGACAUUGUAGGUGCUCAAUAAAUGUUUGUCGAAUAUCAAUGACAGCAGGAGGCAGUAAAUGGUCCCUCUUUGUAGGGCCUACAGCUGUGCCUGAGUAGGAUGUACAGAAGUCCUGCAUACGUGUGAAAUGUCUCCAGGAAGCUGCACUGGAGGGGACAGGAAAUGUGAGUAAUCGUAUGGUGCAAGUGGUAGCAAAAAAGACAACAUAAGAAAAAUGUUAUUUAGGUUUUGCCCAGUCUUGCUUUUUAAAGCCCUGUGUUAGAUGCUUUUCAUGCAUUAUUUUACUGAAUGUAAACAACCACCUUAUUAAAUAUACUCACUUUUUUAAAACGAAGAAACACGUACUGGCCGGUCACGGUGGCUCACGCCUGUAAUCUCAGCACUUUGCGGGGCCGAGGUGGGUGGAUCACAAGGUCAGGAGUACAAAACCAGCCUGGCCAAGAUGGUGAAACCCCGUCUCUAGUAAAAAUACAAAAAUUAGCCGGGCGUGGUGGCGGGUGCCUGUAAUCCCAGCUACUCGGGAGGCCGAGGCAGAAGAAUCGCUUGAACCUGGAGGGCGGAGGUUUCAGUGAGCCGAGAUCGCACCACUGCACUCCAGCCUGGGCAACAGAGUGAGACUCCCUCUCAAAAAGAAGGAAAGAAAGAAAAAGAAACAAGUACUGAAAAAGCUAAGUAAUUUGCCCAAUUUUAUACCAUCAAUAAAAGGGAGCUGUAAGAUUUGG
rnacentral:lncRNA from 1 species